CAAUGCUUUAUUAACAGUUGGAAACAAACCCAACAAAUUGGAGGUGAUGACAUCCCAGAAGCCCAAGAGGCAAGGGAAACAGGUUUGCAUUUUGUCCCUUUUUUUUAAUUAAAUGCAUCUUAGCAAAAGUAGAUUAAAAAAAGAAAGGGUCAAAGCCCCAGAUGUCAGCAGGGAGGUGCCCCUUGACACACAGGCUCUCGCCACCAGAACCCUGCUGCCCGGCCUCCAGGCCCCCCUGCGGGCGCCCUCAGGUCCCGAAGCUGCCCCUGCUCUCAAGGCUGGAUGGGAGGGCCAAGCCCUCUCCUCCGGGGGCCGGAAGCUGAAAGGCGCACAGGAGGGCAAAAUGUCACCUUGAGCCAGAGAAUCUGAGUUUGCUGCAGCCGUGGCCGCCAAGAAUUUGGCCUGCCCACUGCUGAGAAGAGGGCGGGGGGGGGGGACGCCCUGUGCCCACUCCUCCAGGGGUGUCCAGUUAGCAUUUGCACAUUUGGCUUGAUAAAUAUAUUAAAUUUAUAAAAACUCUGUGGUCUCAGAGCUCCCACUACUCUUAGGCCUGGUCCAACUCAACCCGAGGAGAACUUCCUGCUGCCUCAGUCAGAUGCCGGGAGAGAGUCUACACGGGCCUCAAGGGCCCACAGGCUUGAGGGCCGAGGUGGAUGGUGGUCCAGGGGCUUGUUCAGGCCUGACGCUGUGAGGAGAAUCCCAGGGACCCUGGAACCCGCCAACAAAGCCUCUCACAUCAUGGAGCGGGAAGGGAGACGGAGGAGUUAUUUCUCUUAAAAAAAUUCAUACAAAAAUAGAUCCAUUUGCAAAACAACUUCUCAGCCAGGAGGCUCCAACCCCGUUUCCCUGGAGACAGAGGCCAAGGUGCUGGAAGGGCCAGAGACAGCCCAUCUUCCAGGUGAGCCGCACCAGAGCUUGAGGGAGGCCAGGGCCGGGCAGAGGGUCCCAGGGCACGAGGCAUGGCAGUGGCCGGGGCUGGCCCCGCCUGCCCGCCCUCAGUGGGGCUCUGGCCCAGGCCCCAGGGCACAGAUCAAGUGGCCUAGGCCUUUUCUGUGGGGGAGGUCUUUCCCAAAAGGUGGGGGAAGGGAUCACUCCCCACUUCCGUGGAAGUAGCUCCCGAUGCCAGGCCGCCAGCAAUGAAGGACAGGAGCCCGGGGCGGGAGGAGCAGAGCCGGGGUGACAGCAGUGGGGGGAACCGAGCCCAAAGGCGUCUCAGCCCCGUGCUGCUCUCAGAGCACGGGCUGGCGAGACGGGCGCAGGCCGGAGCCCCCUGGAAAGCGGGCGCCGAGAAAGCAGGUGCCCCUGGCGGAGAGACGGCGCGGAGACCAGGGGCGACACUGGGGCUUAAGGCGGCGGACGCGGAGCCGGCUUUGGUUGGACGAGAG
rnacentral:lncRNA from 1 species